rnacentral:rRNA from 1 species
UAAAGCUCUGUUGUCAGGGAAGAACAAGUACCGUUCGAACAGGGCGGUACCUUGACGGUACCUGACGAGGAAGCCACGGCUAACUACGUGCCAGCAGCCGCGGUAAUACGUAGGUGGCAAGCGUUGUCCGGAAUUAUUGGGCGUAAAGCGCGCGCAGGCGGUUCCUUAAGUCUGAUGUGAAAUCUCGCGGCUCAACCGCGAGCGCCCAUUGGAAACUGGGGAACUUGAGUGCAGGAGAGGGGAGCGGAAUUCCACGUGUAGCGGUGAAAUGCGUAGAGAUGUGGAGGAACACCAGUGGCGAAGGCGGCUCUCUGGCCUGUAACUGAUGCUGAGGCGCGAAAGCGUGGGGAGCGAACAGGAUUAGAUACCCUGGUAAUCCACGCCGUAAACGAUGAGUGCUAAGUGUUAGAGGGUAUCCGCCCUUUAGUGUUGCAGCAAACGCAUUAAGCACUCCGCCUGGGGAGUACGGCCGCAAGGCUGAAACUCAAAGGAAUUGAUGG